rnacentral:misc_RNA from 1 species
AGAAUAAAAAAUCGAGGCGUCGCUCUUUUUUUGAGGGUGAUCGCGUCGGAAUUGAGCCGUCUUUCAAAUGUUAAUUCAUGUCAAAGUGGCUUGAAAUUCAUCCAUCCGGUACGAUUAAAGCGUAUUUAAGAUCAAUUUUGUUCAAGAACGCGCGAUGACGUACCAUCUCAUGUAGUACGUUUGACCUGGCGUCGUCAGGAUCAUUCGUAUACGAUACUCAAC